GGGCGGUUAGCUCAGUUGGGAGAGCGCUGCUUUCGCACGGCAGAGGUCGCCGGUUCAAGUCCGGUACCGUCCACCA
rnacentral:tRNA from 1 species